AGAUAAAAGUAAAAUUAAGUGAUUAAAAAGUCCAAGUUAUGAAACAAAGGUCAACAUUAUGAGAUAAAGGUCAGAAUUAUGAGAUAAAAAUUCUAAAUUAUGAGAUUAAAUACUCAAAAUUAUGAUAAAAGGUACAAAUUUAAACAUUAUGAAUAAAAAGUAUAAAUUAUAAGAUU